UAGUCCACGCCGUAAACGAUGUCAACUAGCCGUUGGUCGGGUUACCGAUUAGUGGCGCAGCUAACGCAAUAAGUUGACCGCCUGGGGAGUACGGUCGCAAGAUUAAAACUCAAAGGAAUCGACGGGGGCCCGCACAAGCGGUGGAGCAUGUGGUUUAAUUCGAUGCAACGCGAAAAACCUUACCUACCCUUGACAUCCUCAGAACUUGUUAGAGAUAACUUGGUGCCUUCGGGAAUUGAGUGACAGGUGCUGCAUGGCUGUCGUCAGCUCGUGUCGUGAGAUGUUGGGUUAAGUCCCGCAACGAGCGCAACCCUUGUCCCUAGUUGCCAGCACAUAAUGGUGGGAACUCUAGGGAGACUGCCGGUGACAAACCGGAGGAAGGUGGGGAUGACGUCAGGUCAUCAUGGCCCUUAUGGGUAGGGCUACACACGUGCUACAAUGGUCGGUACAGAGGGUUGCCAACCCGCGAGGGGGAGCGUAAUCUACAGAAAACCCGACGUACGUACGGUACCGUAGUAGGACGUCGUCGACUACGUACGUA
rnacentral:rRNA from 1 species